rnacentral:rRNA from 1 species
UACCAGCACCCCGAGUGGUCGGGACGCUUAUUGGGCCUAAAGCAUCCGUAGCCGGUUCUACAAGUCUUCCGUUAAAUCCACCUGCUUAACAGAUGGGCUGCGGAGGAUACUAUAGAGCUAGGAGGCGGGAGAGGCAAGCGGUACUCAGUGGGUAGGGGUAAAAUCCGUUGAUCCAUUGAAGACCACCAGUGGCGAAGGCGGCUUGCCAGAACGCACUCGACGGUGAGGGAUGAAAGCUGGGGGAGCAAACCGG